rnacentral:rRNA from 1 species
UACAGAGACCUCAAGCGUUAUCCGGAUUCAUUGGGCGUAAAGCGUCCGCAGGUGGUUUGAAAAGUUAAUAGUCAAAUCUUGAGGCUUAACUUCGAGGCUGCUAUUAAUACUAUCAAACUAGAGACUGGGAGAGGCAAGCGGAACUAUCGGUGUAGUCGUAAUAAGCGCUGAUAUCGAUAGGAACACCAAAGGCGAAGGCAGCUUGCUAGAACAGUUCUGACACUCAUGGACCAAAGCGUGGGUAGCGAAAGGGAUUAGAUACC